rnacentral:lncRNA from 1 species
UCGGAAAGUUGUCAUUGUUCAAAUUAACUCAGUUUCUUAAUUUUCAUUAAGCGGUUAGUUGCCUCCUCCAGUUCUAGCCUAUACUUUUACAGGGUAAAGUUUAACAGAUUUCUAUCCUCUAGGCAAAUGGUCUGUUUAUAGUAUUAAUAGGUGCCUUGGUCAUGGUAGCGAGCAAACACUAUUAUGGCUACUUUUCUAGCUGUCAGGUAUCUGUUGACAUAUGUACCUCAGGUAAGCCUGUUGAUGUCUUGGUAAAGAAGCAGAUAGUGCUGCUACUAAUAGCCCAUCUUGUUUGUGGGCUCGAGUCACAAAAGGACCAGCAUCCUUCAUGGAGUGAAUAUAAGAUAGCCAGGAGCUCAACAUGGCACACCUUUAAGGGCACUUGCUGCUCUUAGCAGAGGACGUGGUGGCUCACAUCCUUCU